rnacentral:RNase_P_RNA from 1 species
UAAGCAGGUCACCUUAUCGCUUCCUGUAUUUUGCAGGAGGAGGAAAGUCCGGACACCAUAGUGCAGCAUAGCGGGUAACGCCCGUCACCCGUCCCGGUAAUAAUCGGGGUGGGGCGGACUAGUGCAACAGAAAGAAUGUACAGGUUAAGCUGUAGUGAAAUCAUGUAAACUCUAUGCGGUGAAACGCCAUGUAUAUCAGUGUUCGAGGGCGGCACGUCCAAGCUGAAGGGUAGGCGGAUAGAAUCUUUGGGUAACUGAAGAUCUAGAUAAAUGAUAAGGAACCUUUUUAAGGCUACAGAAUCCGGCUUAUGAUCUGCUUUUUUU